UGAAAACGUUUUAAAAUAGAGACGUUCUUGAAUUUCGUUUAAAAGGAAAAGAAUUGCCAAAUGAUUUUGGAAGGAGAUUAUUCUUUUUCAUUUCAACGAAAAAAAAAUAUAUAAGGAGGAAGAACAAGA
rnacentral:sRNA from 1 species